rnacentral:misc_RNA from 1 species
GAUGAAGAACGUAGCGAAAUGCGAUAAGUAGUGUGAAUUGCAGAAUUCAGUGAAUCAUCGAAUCUUUGAACGCACAUUGCGCCCCCUGGUAUUCCGGGGGGCAUGCCUGUUCGAGCGUCAUUACAACCCUCAGGCCCCCGGGCCUGGCGUUGGGGAUCGGCGGAGCCCCCCGUGGGCACACGCCGUCCCCCAAAUACAGUGGCGGUCCCGCCGCAGCUUCCAUCGCGUAGUAGCUAACACCUCGCGACUGGAGAGCGGCGCGGCCACGCCGUAAAACACCCAACUCUUCUGAAGUUGACCUCGAAUCAGGUAGGAAUACCCGCUGAACUUAAGCAUAUCAAUAAGCGGAGGA